GACGAACGCUGGCGGCGUGCUUAACACAUGCAAGUCGUACGAGAACGGUUCCUUCGGGAGCCUAUUACAGUGGCGAACGGGUGAGUAACGCGUGGGUAAUCUGCCCUUGGGUGGGGAAUAACUUGGGGAAACCCGAGCUAAUGCCGCAUGAUAUCGCAGAGGCUUCGGCUUAGGCGAUCAAAGGUGGCGAGGUUCGACCGCUACCGCCAAAGGAGGAGCCCGCGUUCCAUUAGCUUGUUGGUGGGUAACGGCCUACCAAGGCGGCGAUGGAUAGCCGGCCUGAGAGGGUGAUCGGCCACACUGGAACUGAGACACGGUCCAGACUCCUACGGGAGGCAGCAGUGGGGAAUAUUGGGCAAUGGGCGAAAGCCUGACCCAGCGACGCCGCGUGGGUGAUGAAGGCCCUUGGGUCGUAAAACCCUGUCAUGUGGGACGAAAGGCUCGGGCUCUAACAUAGUCCGGGUUUGACGGUACCACAGGAGGAAGCCCCGGCUAACUCCGUG
rnacentral:rRNA from 1 species